UGACCUCGGAUCAGACGUGAUUACCCGCUGAAUUUAAGCAUAUUAUUAAGCGGAGGAAAAGAAACUAACAAGGAUUCCCCUAGUAACGGCGAGUGAACGGGGAAGAGCCCAACACCGAAUCCCUUGGCGCAAGUCAACGGGAAAUGUGGUGUUAAGGUAGCCCUUCGUGUCAGUCUAGGCGUCUCAAGUCCACCUGAUUGUGGCUCAAGCCCAGAGAGGGUGUAAGGCCCGUAGAGACGCUCCGACUGAUUCCUGGGGUUUACCUACGAGUCGGCUUGUUUGGGAAUGCAGGCCAAAGCGGGUGGUAAACUCCAUCCAAGGCUAAAUACUGGCACGAGUCCGAUAGCGGACAAGUACCGUGAGGGAAAGUUGAAAAGAACUUUGAAGAGAGAGUUCAAUAGUACGUGAAACCGCUUAGAGGCAAACGGAUGGUGCUCAUACUGGCCUGAGGAAUUCAACUGUGACGGUGGCUGGACGAGCUGGCGUUCCGAUCUCUCUUUUGGGACGGGCGUCGGUUUGGCUAUCAGCUCCGACAUGGUGCACUUUCCUUGGUGCCUCCGCCACGACCGACGACACUGGCUACCCGCGGCUGGGGUAAGGUGACAAACUGCUUCGGCAAUUUGUGUUAUAGACCCCGGCGUCGGACAUGGUUUGGCCAGGACGUCGAGCUUGCGGCGCCCGCUCCUUGUGGGCUCGCAUGUUGGCUAGCUUGGCUGCGCCGAUGCUUGCACUGGACAACCAGUACAGGUGACGGUUGUGGUCUUGUCUCUAGUUGGCCUCUGCGAGUUUGGCGCCUAUAGUCUGUGGUGUACUUGUGGGUAGACUAUCCGACCCGUCUUGAAACACGGACCAAGGAGUCUAACAUGUGCGCGAGUCAUGGGGAUUCUACGAAACCCAAAGGCGCAGUGAAAGUAAAGGCCUGCUUCUCGUAGGCUGAGGUGGGAUCUCGUGCAUCGCGAUUGGCGAGCGCACCACCGGCCCGUCCUAUCUGUCUCUGUCAGUGGGGCGGCGCAAGAGCGUACACGUUGGGACCCGAAAGAUGGUGAACUAUGCUUGCGCAGCUCGAAGUCAGUGGAAACACUGAUGGAGGAGCGCAGCGUUUCUGACGUGCAAAUCGAUCGUCAAACGUGAGUAUAGGGGCGAAAGACUAAUCGAACCAUCUAGUAGCUGGUUCCCUCCGAAGUUUCCCUCAGGAUAGCUGGCACUCGGGAAACAGUUUUAUCCGGUAAAGCGAAUGAUUAGAGGCAUUGGGGUCGAAACGACCUCGACCUAUUCUCAAACUUUAAAUGGGUAAGAUGCUCGUCUCGCUUAAUUGGAGGCGGGCUUCACCUCUCUAUAAACGUGAAUGUGAGUGCCCAGUGGGCCAUUUUUGGUAAGCAGAACUGGCGCUGUGGGAUGAACCAAACGCGCGGUUAAGGCGCCCAAUGCGGACGCUCAUGAGACACCACAAAAGGUGUUGGUCGAUACUGACAGCAGGACGGUGGCCAUGGAAGUCGGAACCCGCUAAGGAGUGUGUAACAACUCACCUGCCGAAUCAACCAGCCCUGAAAAUGGAUGGCGCUGGAGCGUCGGGCCUAUACCGUGCCGUUGGGGCGAAGCAGACAAAUAAUCUGUGUGGAUGUCCCAACGAGUAGGAGGGUCGCCGUGGUGAGCGCAGAAGGUGCGGCCGUGAGGCCGGCUGGAGCCGCCACGGGCGCAGAUCUUGGUGGUAGUAGCAAUUACUCAAGUGAGAACCUUGAGGACUGAAGUGGAGAAGGGUUCCAUGUGAACAGCAGCAGUUGAACAUGGGUCAGGCGGUCCUAAGCGAUCGGGUAACUCCGUACCUAGACGAGGGUGACAACUAUCACUGAUAAUACUGUGAAGUGUUAUAGCCCUCCGGAGCGAAAGGGAAUCGUGUUAAUAUUCACGACCCUUACCGUGGAGAUCGCCCCUUUCGGGGGCGGGGGCAAGUGCGUAACGCAAACGAACACAGAGACGUCGGCUGGAGCCCCGGGAAGAGUUCUCUUUUCUUUGUAAGGAGCGUACCCCCUGGAAUCGGCUUGUCCGGAGAUAGGGGCGUGGCUUCCGUAAAGCAGCGCGGGUCUUGCGCUGUCCGGUGCACUCUAGUCGGCCCUUGAAAAUCUGUGGGAGACAGUGUGAUUUUCACGGUAGGCCGUACCCAUAUCCGCAGCAGGUCUCCAAGGUGAACAGCCUCUAGUCCUAGAACAAUGUAGGUAAGGGAAGUCGGCAAAAUGGAUCCGUAACUUCGGGAAAAGGAUUGGCUCUGAGGGCUGGGUCGGAUGGGCUGGCGUAAGAAGCUGUUCCGGUUUUGGUGAGGACUGGGCGAGGCUUUCGGGCUUUACUCGGACCAUGCCGAGACCAGGCAGUAGACGACGUCACGUCAGCUGUGCUUGUCGUGUUUCGGCGCGGCAGCUUCGUCCGGCAACAAACAGCCAACUCAGAACUGGCACGGACUAGGGGAAUCCGACUGUCUAAUUAAAACAAAA
rfam:Macrostomum lignano unitig_47456, whole genome shotgun sequence.